rnacentral:lncRNA from 10 species
CUUAAACACCAAGAACUCAGACUCUGUAGAAAUUAAAGUUUCAUUAUCCUUGCAAAGUAAAGGACCCUGUUCAGCUGAGAUUUUGGCAAAAGUCAAAGGGAAUAAGGAAUCUGUAAUGGAAGAAGGCUGCUAUCAGUGCCCACUUAAACCUCAGAAUGCUACAGAGGCAGAGAUUAUUGCAGUGGUUUAUGUUUCUUUAGACAGUUUUCUUUCUCCUCAUAUUUUUUGUUACAAACUUAAAUGAAGAAGGUGACUAGUGUUUAAAGUUUCAAGAGAAAUGUAACUACUCUGAGGUUUCCCCAUGAUGAUAAAGUUGCUGAUGGGACUUUCUGAGUCCUUUGUUUGGGAUGCUAAGGGGGAAAGGGGACAGAUCAUGUCGGUUAUCAUCUCUGUGCUUAUCCAGAUCGAGCAGUCCCCUUUCUCUGCCAACUCUCUCCCACAGCAGGCCUACCUAGGUCCCACGUCCAACAGGGCUUUCGUGACUUUGGCUUCAGCUAAUUUGGGACCUCCACCAAAAAAACUGGAGAAUGUGUGAUAUUUUGAUUUACUAUAAAAAUAUAUGUUUGGUCUUUGUCUCUGUUCCUGGCACAGGGCUCCUAAAACUCUUGGAAUUGCGUAGGUUGUUAAGUACAACAAAGGUGAGUGGAGCAACAUUUAUUAUUCAUGAUAAGCCCCUUUCACCACUCAAAUUAUGUUAAUAAGGUGAUUUUUGAAAAGCCUACAGGAUGGGGGCUGGUUUCCAGGGGAACCAACUUUGGGAUAAGAGGGUUAAAACUUUCAGCCUCACUGCAUCCCCCUACUUCCAGGAAGGGGAGAGGGGCUGGAAAUUGACUUGUCACCAAUGGCCAGUGAUUAAUCAAACAUGCCUUAUAAAAACUCAAAAGGACAAAGUUCAGAGAGCUUCUGGAUUGGCUAACACAAAUAGGUACUAUGAAGGCAGCAUGCCUAGAGACACCAUGGAAGCCCUGUAUCCCUUCCCCACAUCUGGCCCUGUACAUCUCUUCCUUCUGACUAUUCCUAAAUUAUAUUAUUUUAUAACAAACUCAUAGUCUAUUAAAAAAGAUCUCUUUUCCUGAGUUCUGUGAUUUGUUCUAGCAAGUGAUCAAACCCAGGGAGGGAAUUGUGGGAACCUCUGAUGUGUAGCUGUUGGUCAGAGCACAGGUGACGACCUGGACUUGCCAUCGAUCUGAACUGGGGACAGUCUUGUGGGACUGGGCCCUUACCACGUGGAAACUGAUGCUAUCUCCAGGUAAAUUGAGUCAGAAGUGAGUUACAUUACAGGACACUCAGUUGGUGUCCACCAAAAAGUGAAGAAUUGCUUGAUGUCAGAAGUGGAAGAUUGAGAGUAAGUGUGGGAGUAUAGAGAGUAUAGAGAAAAACAGUGUUUUUUUCCCCUUUUAGGUAGAGGAGAAUGAGGUCAGGAUGCUUAUUUCCCUGGCUACCUCCCUAUAAAGUUGUCAAAGGCUAGCAGAGUCCCCCAGCCAAGAUCUUCCUCUCAAUAUAGCCUGCUCUGCAGGACUUUCUCUUCUUGUUGGUUCUGAUUCACUCUCUGCCUUUAUUCCUUCAGGUCUGUGGGGGUAAUUGCCCUGUUGCUGCUUGCCCCAGUCCUGUACUACCUACCACCUGCCCACACAUUUGCAAUAAGGUUUUCUCAAAGUAUCCUAAUUUGAAUGUGCUACCUAUUUCUUAUUGGGAACUUAACUAACAUUAUUGGUAAGAAAAAUGAGAGCAUAGAUAUUAGUUAACAGAUGAUUGAGAAGAUGAAAGAGAUGCUGAUAAUCAUUAUUUUGACCUAAAGUUACUGUGGUGUGGUGGUUUUAAAAUACGUCAACAAAUUCUGUGGUAUUCUUUCCUCCAAGAAGUGGAGCUUAAUCCCCAUCCUUGAGUGUUGGUAGGACUUAGUGACUUGCCUCUAAUGGAUAGAAUAAAAGUGGAAGUGAUAGUAUACAAUUUCAGAGACUAUGUUGUUAAAAGUACAGUGAAUUCUUCCUUUCUCUCUUUGAUCAUCUGCUUUGGGGAAAGCCGGUUACCAUGUCAUGAAGACACGGAAGAAACUCUGAAGAGGUACAUGUGGUAAGGAGCUGAGGCCCCAGCCAAUAAUCAUAUGAGUUAGUCAUCUAGGAAGACGAUCCUCCAACCUCAUUCAAGCCUACCAAUGACUGUGGCCCCUGUCUAUAUCCUGACUGCAACUACAUGAGGGACCCUGCACCUGAACCACCCAGUGACCUUGAAGACUCUGUUGAAGAUGCUGGCAUCACAAGAUGGAAGGAACAUGGGUCCCUCAGUCACCACUUGCUGGAAAACCUCCCCAAAGAAUCAACAAACCAGGAAUACCAUAUUGGAUUUUAGUAUGAACAAGAAAAAAUACAUUUAUUCUGUUAAGCCACUGAGUUUUGGGGUUGUUUUUCUACUGCAUUUAACCUACCUUGGUAAUACUAGAUAGAUAGGACUGGGGAUUAUAAAUUUCUCAUUUAUUGCAGGCAACUGAUCCCAUUAUUAUGAUCUUAUUCCACUGUAAGGCAACUUUGUUAGAAAAUAUUGGGAGUUUAUGAAAACCUCCCUCUGAGUAUCUUAAAAGCCUUCUUUAUACAACAAAAUCUCACGAAAGAAUGAGAACAAACCCAAACUAAUUGCAUUUUGGCAAACAUUUCACACAUAUAUUUGCAAGUUAAAAUCUCUAUAGGCAAUUGCCUAGUUUACGGAAUGGAAUGUUGGAAAAGAUUGCAAAUGAGACAAUCGGGUGGAUGGACACUUUUAGUAGGACUAUUUGCAAGGUCUGGAAAAUUUAGCACUGAUCAUUUAACUGUCUAUUUAUUUCCUCCCACCCAUGCCCCCCAAGCCUGCAGAUAUGUAUGAUUUAUGAAAAGGAUACAGUGUCAGGUGAGGUGUGAUGGCAUGCAGAACCUGAAGCCAUGGACACCCAACACUCAAAGAAUGAGGCUUGGAGUUUGGGUCUUCAGAGUGCCGACUCAUGACCUGUCUACCUCUCUAUACAACUUCUGACCUGCUUUAUCUGACCUAGACUCACAAGCUAGAAGAUGAGAGCAGCAUGGAUAGUAAAAGGCAAAAUAUUUAUACGAUCUGAAGAGAAACUAGAGCAUAAGAUGAGAACAGCACGGAUCAAUAACCGAAAUAAAAACUUCACAAAACACCAUUACUACGUGCAAUGCAGUCAAAUAUUUUCUUAUUGCUUUUAUACAAUACUAAAUGAAAGCUGAUAAACUCUUUUCACAACCCCCUAAUAAAUUAGAAUUCUCAGUUAGAAAACUGUCUCAUCUAAGCGUGUGUUAUCCUUUCCUGUUAAAGUUCCCUUUCCACUGGUCCUCUCUCCUUAAAUAAAGCCUGCA